AGAGUUUGAUCAUGGCUCAGAUUGAACGCUGGCGGCAGGCCUAACACAUGCAAGUCGAGCGGAUGAAGGGAGCUUGCUCCUGGAUUCAGCGGCGGACGGGUGAGUAAUGCCUAGGAAUCUGCCUGGUAGUGGGGGAUAACGUCCGGAAACGGGCGCUAAUACCGCAUACGUCCUGAGGGAGAAAGUGGGGGAUCUUCGGACCUCACGCUAUCAGAUGAGCCUAGGUCGGAUUAGCUAGUUGGUGGGGUAAAGGCCUACCAAGGCGACGAUCCGUAACUGGUCUGAGAGGAUGAUCAGUCACACUGGAACUGAGACACGGUCCAGACUCCUACGGGAGGCAGCAGUGGGGAAUAUUGGACAAUGGGCGAAAGCCUGAUCCAGCCAUGCCGCGUGUGUGAAGAAGGUCUUCGGAUUGUAAAGCACUUUAAGUUGGGAGGAAGGGCAGUAAGUUAAUACCUUGCUGUUUUGACGUUACCAACAGAAUAAGCACCGGCUAACUUCGUGCCAGCAGCCGCGGUAAUACGAAGGGUGCAAGCGUUAAUCGGAAUUACUGGGCGUAAAGCGCGCGUAGGUGGUUCAGCAAGUUGGAUGUGAAAUCCCCGGGCUCAACCUGGGAACUGCAUCCAAAACUACUGAGCUAGAGUACGGUAGAGGGUGGUGGAAUUUCCUGUGUAGCGGUGAAAUGCGUAGAUAUAGGAAGGAACACCAGUGGCGAAGGCGACCACCUGGACUGAUACUGACACUGAGGUGCGAAAGCGUGGGGAGCAGACAGGAUUAGAUACCCUGGUAGUCCACGCCGUAAACGAUGUCGACUAGCCGUUGGGAUCCUUGAGAUCUUAGUGGCGCAGCUAACGCGAUAAGUCGACCGCCUGGGGAGUACGGCCGCAAGGUUAAAACUCAAAUGAAUUGACGGGGGCCCGCACAAGCGGUGGAGCAUGUGGUUUAAUUCGAAGCAACGCGAAGAACCUUACCUGGCCUUGACAUGCUGAGAACUUUCCAGAGAUGGAUUGGUGCCUUCGGGAACUCAGACACAGGUGCUGCAUGGCUGUCGUCAGCUCGUGUCGUGAGAUGUUGGGUUAAGUCCCGUAACGAGCGCAACCCUUGUCCUUAGUUACCAGCACCUCGGGUGGGCACUCUAAGGAGACUGCCGGUGACAAACCGGAGGAAGGUGGGGAUGACGUCAAGUCAUCAUGGCCCUUACGGCCAGGGCUACACACGUGCUACAAUGGUCGGUACAAAGGGUUGCCAAGCCGCGAGGUGGAGCUAAUCCCAUAAAACCGAUCGUAGUCCGGAUCGCAGUCUGCAACUCGACUGCGUGAAGUCGGAAUCGCUAGUAAUCGUGAAUCAGAAUGUCACGGUGAAUACGUUCCCGGGCCUUGUACACACCGCCCGUCACACCAUGGGAGUGGGUUGCUCCAGAAGUAGCUAGUCUAACCGCAAGGGGGACGGUUACCACGGAGUGAUUCAUGACUGGGGUGAAGUCGGAACAAGGUAGCCGUAGGGGAACCUGCGGCUG
rnacentral:rRNA from 1 species